rnacentral:rRNA from 1 species
AAACUCAAAUGAAUUGACGGGGGCCCGCACAAGCGGUGGAGCAUGUGGUUUAAUUCGAUGCAACGCGAAGAACCUUACCUGGUCUUGACAUCCACGGAAGUUUUCAGAGAUGAGAGUGUGCCUUCGGGAACCGUGAGACAGGUGCUGCAUGGCUGUCGUCAGCUCGUGUUGUGAAAUGUUGGGUUAAGUCCCGCAACGAGCGCAACCCUUAUCCUUUGUUGCCAGCG